GACAGAGGUCUCGAGCGUUAGGCGGAAUCACUGGGCUUAAAGCGUGUGUAGGUGGAUGCCUAAGUACCUUGUGAAAUCCCACGGCUUAACCGUGGAAUUGCUUGGUAUACUGGGUGUCUUGAGCCACUUAGGGGCAACCGGAACAAAUGGUGGAGCGGUGAAAUGCGUAGAUAUCAUUUGGAACGCCAAUGGUGAAAACAGGUUGCUGGGAGUGUGCUGACACUGAGACACGAAAGCCAGGGGAGCGAACGGG
rnacentral:rRNA from 1 species